UGUCUUUCCUGGCCCUACGAACGUCUGGUGAGGAUGGAGGGUUGUGCUUUCAGAUGCUAGGAAUUGACCAAAUCAGAUUUGAAGCAGAUCAGCAGUUCGUGAGGAAAAGGCUUCAGCGUGUUCUAAGAGCCUGUUUUUCUAGAACUGUAUCAUGUUUAGAAGAUCAUCAGCCACCAUACCAGUGAUGUCAUCUGAUAGAGCGUGAAGCAUGGAUCUCUCCUCGUGGCAGCUGUAGGAGACACAGGGACUCCGUGACCUGGAAAAUGUGGGACAACUGCCACAAGGUGACCCUGGAAGGCUGGGGGAAAACCGCUUUGAAGAAUGCAGCAAAUUAUUUUGUAUACUACGUCCAAGGCUGCUGAGCCAGAAGAAUAAGGACAUACUGCUUGUGAGUUCAGCUGGAUCAAUAGCUCAGCCCUGGGAUUUGCUCGUCUGCUGGAUACUGAAUGAAAAGCACUAAGCUGCCAGUUUGUACCAUGGAUAUUUAAGACCCCGAUGCAGCCAAGAGACAUUUUUCAUCAGACGGAAAGCAGCUUACCUCUAAAAAAAUGUUUAGAUAUAUGAGCACACAACAUACAGAGACUCUGAAAUGUACCUGCGGAUCAUGUAGGAAAUGCUCCCUUUCCGCUCUAUUACUCGAGAAAGAGUACACCCACAUCCACACCCACACACACACACAACUAUACAGAGAAAUCUCUAUUCAUAGAGUGCCUUUAUUCCAGAGGCCUCAAAGCACUCCACAGACCCGAUCAAAUCCAUUCCUGCAUCUCUGUGAGUAAAAGGUGAGUGACGGAGAUUACCUACUUUUUCCUGCUGGAGAACAGUUCACAGCUGGCCGAGCGAGCGCAGGAGACAGUCUUCUCCAUUUCCCACUUUGCCGAUGGCGCUCUUCACCGUCAUAGGCUGUCUGGUUGCCUAAUGUGUGUGCAAGUUGGUGAGUUAUCAAACAGAGUUCUGACAAGGAAUUGUUUGUGUCUGCUUUUCUUUUUUCACUCCCAGUUUUCCCUCCAUAAGCAUCCGUAUCAGUCCUGGUAUCGCAGCAGCAAGAUAUGCAAGCAGACCUAUUAGUGAGGAGGAAAGCAGCGAGGGGCUGUUAGAUCCAGGCUUGCCUACUUAGCUUGAGAUCUCUGUGGUUCUGUCGCUCUUCUGAACAUAAAUACUCUCCAAAGUGGUAUUCAGAAACUGCCAUGAGAAAAGAGGCAAUACAGACAAAGCAAUUAAAAAAUGGGGAAAAAAAAGUCAUCCAGCUGAAAAAUAGUCAUCCAGUUGAGGCAAUCAAAAGUUCCUGGCAGUUGGCUGUACUUAUUAAUUCUUUUCCUCUUGCCGAUACUCAGAGUGGAAGCACGCACACCAGGAUGACAAGCUAAGUGAAAGCUUUCAACAUCCCGGGCAGGCUCGGUUGUCAUCCUGAGCAUCCAGAGGUGCUGUCCUGGCUUGGGGCCCGGCCAUGGACUACGAGAGAAGCAUCACUGCUCCCAUCUCUUUGUCACCGAAAAGUGGUCCUUGCCUUUGGCAUUUCUCUUGACUUCAGCUUUUGCUUCAAGCAGCAGUGCAGUAACUGAACUGAUAGAAAUAAUGACAAAGAAAAGCAUGAAAAUAUUUGGUAAGACAACUCCUUCCACUGUAGUAAAAAGGAAAAUUCUGCUUUGAUCUCACAAUUCAUCUGCUCAUUUGGGUCAGGACUUUGGGCCUGUGUAGGUGUCUUCUCACACGGACAGUUUGUUGACUUUCGCAUGCUGAUUCUGAAUGGUAGAGUCUAUCUUGAUAGGAACCAAAGAAAGCCACAAAGAUGAACUAGAACUGAGACAGAAAAAAACCAAAUUGAAAAGAGCCAGUGGAAGCACAUGGUGUGGAGGUUAAAAACCAGGUCUCUGUAUUUGGACACAACCAGCUUCCAUGGGUAAAUCAUUUAACUUCUCUACAUAUUCCCUUUUUUAUCCUUUGUAAAUGUUAGACUAGUAAGUACUUCAGGGAGUGUUGGAAGUACUAAACAAGGAUAAUAUAUGUCUAGUAAACUGAGAGCUCUCUUCUCCAUCUUUUUAUUGGAAUAAUGUUCCUAAACACCCUGGGUAACCAUGUCAUUGACACCAUUCAACGUCGUAAAGAUGUACAUAAUACAAACAAAUAAUGGGCUAAAUAAAAAAGCCAAACACUUUUAGAUAAAACAUAAAUGAUUUAAAUAAAAUCUUAAUAUCUUGUGCUCUAUUAUUCACUUAAAUUUCCCAAAGUGAAGUGUUCAAUUUAGCGUCAAAUCAGAGGGUACAGCAUUUCAGUCCCUAACCACAGCACACUGUAGUUUUACUAAUACAACUGAAAGUCUAUUCAAAACAAAAACAAAACAACAAAACAAAGGUAUUGGUACCAACACCCACCUUGACCACAUUUACUGGCUAAUCAUAGACUCCUGACUGAUUUUAUUGAGAAGUGGGAUUGAGAUGGUAAGGAACAACCAGCUCAUCAAUACUACAUAAUGUUGUUUUUUUUAAGUGGACAGCAAAUUGUGCUGAGCUCACAUGCUAUUUAGACCAGUAAACGUUCUAUAAAAUAAAGCCUUCUUAUCAUCUGUUCAAAUAUCUGAGGGAAAAAUGUUAUAAAUAAUAAUAUAUUUUAAAUGGCAUUGCAAAUGUUCACCUCAGGCCACAAUGAAGAACGAGCACUGGAAGUAAGCGUGUUACAAAUAGACUUUAUUGUUUUGCUUUAUGGACAGCACAGCAGUUUUUUUUUUUUCCAUGUAAAACUACAGAAAAUGGCCAUUAGCAUUCUAGUGAGCUCCAAGUUACCUGUUGUUUUUGAAAGUACAAAAAGUUUUCACAAAACUGCUGAUGACAGGAUAGCUUUCAGGCAUAGGAAAGUGAUGAGGUUUGAUUAGAAAAGUCAGACUACUGUAUUCAAGUAAAAGACUACUUGAAUUUUACUUUAGUUAAAUAAAAAGUGUCUUUAAUAGUAAUUUUCGGUUGAGACGGGAAGAAAACAUUUGCUGCUUGUUCUCAGUCUUCCUAAUUGAACUUGUAUUUCCAACUUAUAACACGU